rnacentral:rRNA from 1 species
UCCACCGAUUGACUAAGGUUUCCAGAGGAAGGCUCGUCCGCUCUGGGUUAGUCGGGUCCUAAGCUGAGGCCGACAGGCGUAGGCGAUGGAUAACAGGUUGAUAUUCCUGUACCACCUAUAAUCGUUUUAAUCGAUGGGGGGACGCAGUAGGAUAGGCGAAGCGUGCGAUUGGAUUGCACGUCUAAGCAGUAAGGCUGAGUAUUAGGCAAAUCCGGUACUCGUUAAGGCUGAGCUGUGAUGGGGAGAAGACAUUGUGUCUUCGAGUCGUUGAUUUCACACUGCCGAGAAAAGCCUCUAGAUAGAAAAUAGGUGCCCGUACCGCAAACCGACACAGGUAGUCAAGAUGAGAAUUCUAAGGUGAGCGAGCGAACUCUCGUUAAGGAACUCGGCAAAAUGACCCCGUAACUUCGGGAGAAGGGGUGCUCUUU